rnacentral:rRNA from 1 species
UACGAAGGGGGCUAGCGUUGCUCGGAAUCACUGGGCGUAAAGGGUGCGUAGGCGGGUUUCUAAGUCAGAGGUGAAAGCCCCCAGCUCAACUGGGGAAGUGCCUUGGAAACUGCGGGUCUCGAGGGAGGUAGGGGCAUGUGGAACUUCGGGUGGAGCGGUGAAAUGCGUUGAUAUCCGAAGGAACGCCGGUGGCGAAAGCGACGUGCUGGAUCUCUUCUGACGCUGAGGCGCGAAAGCCAGGGGAGCGAACGGG